UACGAAGGGUGCAAACGUUGCUCGGAAUUAUUGGGCGUAAAGCGCACGUAGGCGGCCUCAAAAGUCGGAUGUGAAAUCCCUCGGCUCAACCAAGGAAGUGCAUUCGAAACUGCGAGGCUUGAGUACUAAAGAGGAUCGCGGAAUUCCCGGUGUAGAGGUGAAAUUCGUAGAUAUCGGGAGGAACACCAGUGGCGAAGGCGGCGAUCUGGGUAGAUACUGACGCUGAGGUGCGAAAGCGUGGGGAGCAAACAGG
rnacentral:rRNA from 1 species